rnacentral:lncRNA from 1 species
GAAUUGUAAGCCAGGCUGCGAAGCAGGAGGGGAGAUUCCAGGCAGAGGAAACUGCUUGGGGUAAAGAAAACAAAAAACGCAACCCCCCCAGCAUGGUGCGUACUGGAGAUGAGAAAAUGGAGGUACCAAAAAGUGGGCUCUGAACUGCAGAGCCUGGCUCCAGAGCCCUUGUAUUUGACUACUGGGAUCCACCGUUAUUCUCACAGCCGCGUUUCCCACAGGGCUGCUUUGUAUGGCCUCUUAGAAAAGUCCUGCCUGUCUCCACCAUCCAGACUAUGAUGUCCGUGAGGUCAGAGGAAAGGGAGAAUGUCUCACAUACAGAAAAUGCUUGAUCAACAUUGAUGGAAUCAUAAAUGGGCCUCAGCGGCACCUGUCCUGAGUCAGCAUCUCACAGAGGUUUUGCCAGCGCCAGCCACAUCUCCAGCAUGAAGGUGAUUGUCUGAGUGUGUCCAGUCCAGUUCCUGCCUUAAUAAAAAUCACUGCUGCAAGGGAGAGGGCUGCCAAGGCCCUGCCUCCCUCCAACCCCA